AUUUUGCAUUAAGUAGGAAAGGUGCAGCUCUAAUGGACAUAUUGGCUGAAAUGCCUAAAUUCCCAGAGCGUCAGUCUGCAUUGAUUAAAAAAGCUGAAGAUGCUGAAAUUGAUACUGCAGAGCAAAGUGCUAUUAAGCUGCGGGCACAGCAACAAACUUCAAAUGCUUUGGUUGUGACUGACCAGUGCUAUGCUAAUGGGCCAUCACCAAUUGUUCCAGCUGUUGGCCCACUUACUCUUGUCAAGGUUCCCAGCAUGAGUGGCAGUGAAGAGCAUACUGCAGUGGACCAGGCACUGACCCAGUCAAAUGGGACUUUGACUAAAGUAGAUUCUCAACCUCCCUCAGAUCUUCUUGGUGAUCUUUUGGGACCAUUGGCUAUUGAAGGUCCUCCUGG
rnacentral:misc_RNA from 1 species